rnacentral:snoRNA from 1 species
UGAGAUGAUGAAAUUUUUGCUAUUCACACUGUUUGAUGGUCCUUCACGGGAUUGAUGAAACGGUAAAACAAAAAUCUGAUUUAAUGAGGUGAGU